ACCCAGCGUGCCCCUACUAAA
rnacentral:siRNA from 1 species